rnacentral:rRNA from 1 species
UACGGAAGGGGCAAGCGUUGUUCGGAAUCAUUGGGCGUAAAGGGCGCGUAGGUGGUUCUGUAUGUCUACCGUGAAAGCGUACGGCUCAACCGUAUUUUGUCGGUGGAAACUGCAGGACUUGAGGCUGGGAGGGGCUGGUGGAAUUCCCUGUGUAGUGGUGAAAUGCGUAGAGAUGGGGGAGAACACUCGUGGCGAAGGCGGCCAGCUAGACCAGUUCUGACACUGAGGCGCGACAGCGUGGGGAGCAAACAGG